AUUGAACGCUGGCGGCAGGCCUAACACAUGCAAGUCGAACGAGUGGCGGACGGGUGAGUAAUGUCUGGGAAACUGCCUGAUGGAGGGGGAUAACUACUGGAAACGGUAGCUAAUACCGCAUACCAUCGGAGGUGCCCAGAUGGGAUUAGCUAGUAGGUGGGGUAAAGGCUCACCUAGGCGACGGUCCCUAGCUGGUCUGAGAGGAUGACCAGCCACACUUGAGCUGAGACACUGUCCAGACACCUACGGGAGGCAGCAGUGGGGAAUAUUGCACAAUGGGCGCGAGCAUGAUGCAGCCAUGCCGCGUGUAUGAAGAAGGCCUGCGGGUUGAAAAGUACUUUCAGCGGGGAGGCGUUACCCACAGAAUAAGCACCGGCUAACUCCGUGCCAGCAGCCGCGGUAAUAC
rnacentral:rRNA from 1 species